GACCUGCGGAAGGAUCAUUAUAGAAAAUGACGUGAACUCUUAACGGAGUUCUCUCAAAGUGUUGGAGGGGAAGGCCUGCGCUUAAUUGCGCGGCUGUUUUUAAUCUCCUCCGCCUUUGAUACACACAUUGGAGUUUCUACUUUUUUGUUCUCUUUGGGAGGGUUCUGCUCUCCCAGAGGUAAACACAAACAAUCUUUUAUUAUACUAUUAACACAGUCAAAUGAAUUUUAAAAACAAAAUAUUCAAAACUUUCAACAACGGAUCUCUUGGUUCUCGCAUCGAUGAAGAACGCAGCGAACUGCGAUACGUAAUGUGAAUUGCAGAAUUCCGUGAAUCAUCGAAUCUUUGAACGCACAUUGCGCCCCUUGGUAUUCCGGGGGGCAUGCCUGUUUGAGCGUCAUUUCCCUCUCAAACUUUACGUUUGGUAGUGAGCGAUACUCUACUCUGGAGUUUGCUUGAAAAUGGGAGGCCAUAGGCGAAGCAUUGCUUUCCAAUCCUGCGGCCCUCUGCUUACUUCCCCUUGUGGGUUGUGGCAGGGGAAAGCGGGAGGCGCCUUGCCACGAUAGUCGUAUUAGGUUUUACCGACUCGGCGAAAGUGAAGAGGUUUGCUUUUUAAAAAGAAGCAGGCAGCGUCUGGCUUGACAUAAAUUCUCAAAG
rnacentral:misc_RNA from 1 species